CCCUUAGAUGUUCUGGGCCGCACGCGCGCUACAAUGGUCUUCGCAAACGGAUGCAUUCUCGAAGGAGAAUGCCAAUCUUGGAAUCUAUGCCUUGGUCGGGACAGUUGCUUGCAAUUUUUCGACUCGAACCAGGAAUUCCUUGUAAUCGUGAUUCAUCACAUCACGAUGAAUACGUCCCUGCCCUUUGUACACACCGCCCGUCGCUCCUACCGAUCGAAGAGUUAGGUGAAUUGUUUUGAUCGAUAAGAUUUGACUAUGGUCAACUCUCGUUGUGAAAUCCUGUGAAUCUGACUGUUUAGAGGAAGGAAAAGUCGUAACA
rnacentral:rRNA from 1 species